CCGAACUGAAGUGAACUUGCAACGUUUUUUUUUGAGGUUCACAGAAGUUCAUUAUGUUAACCAGAAACCAUGUGACUCUUAUUUCAAUCUUUGGCAGAAACUGCUAGAAAGAAAGUCCCUCAAUAGUCAGAAGUGACCCUUCCCACUCCCUCCACCGGAGAUUUAAACGGUGGGAAUAUUAGGGAAUUAACAUUUGGCUUAGUAUUCUUAUGACUUCUCCAAGCCGGCUGUCACCACUAGGUACUGCAUGUCUUAGAGACUAGCUCUUUUAAGAUCUUCUAGUUCAGUGGGUUAGGAAUGCUCGGAUCACUUUUGGCUAAGUGUUCAUGUUCAUUUCCUCCUUCCCCCACUUUUGUGGACUGGAAACCCCCCUCUUACUUUUCAUUUUAUGAAUUUGAAACAAAUGUCAGAACUUUAGAUUUAAAAAGAUACUCCUAUCCCACAUGGUUAGGCACAGUCAGCAAAGUUUGCCCACACCAGAAAGCCAAUGCUGCCGAUCACAGGGGAACAAGAGGUACUGGAAGGCUAAUGGACUGGUUUCACAACAGACCCAUGAGAAACAUGUCUGACAAACAUCUGCUCCUGGUGACUGUUCAUUCAAAAGCCCCGCUUUGGAAACAACCUCCUAGAAUCCUUUUCAGGAUAUCUUGA
rnacentral:lncRNA from 12 species